rnacentral:rRNA from 1 species
GACGAACGCUGGCGGCGUGCUUAACACAUGCAAGUCGAACGAUGAUGCCCAGCUUGCUGGGCGGAUUAGUGGCGAACGGGUGAGUAACACGUGAGUAACCUGCCCUUGACUUCGGGAUAACUCCGGGAAACCGGGGCUAAUACCGGAUAUGAGCCGUCCUCGCAUGGGGGUGGUUGGAAAGUUUUUCGGUCAGGGAUGGGCUCGCGGCCUAUCAGCUUGUUGGUGGGGUGAUGGCCUACCAAGGCGACGACGGGUAGCCGGCCUGAGAGGGCGACCGGCCACACUGGGACUGAGACACGGCCCAGACUCCUACGGGAGGCAGCAGUGGGGAAUAUUGCACAAUGGGCGAAAGCCUGAUGCAGCGACGCCGCGUGAGGGAUGAAGGCCUUCGGGUUGUAAACCUCUUUCAGCAGGGAAGAAGCGCAAGUGACGGUACCUGCAGAAGAAGCGCCGGCUAACUACGUGCCAGCAGCCGCGGUAAUACGCAGGGCGCAAGCGUUGUCCGGAAUUAUUGGGCGUAAAGAGCUCGUAGGCGGUUUGUCGCGUCUGGUGUGAAAACUCGAGGCUCAACCUCGAGCUUGCAUCGGGUACGGGCAGACUAGAGUGCGGUAGGGGAGACUGGAAUUCCUGGUGUAGCGGUGGAAUGCGCAGAUAUCAGGAGGAACACCGAUGGCGAAGGCAGGUCUCUGGGCCGCAACUGACGCUGAGGAGCGAAAGCAUGGGGAGCGAACAGG